UAGGGAACUGCUAGAGUCUCACCCACCAGUGCCCCUGGAUGGAGCUUAAUGAACUUGGACCCUUGCAGAUCCUGACACAGCCCUGGGGCUCGGGUCUAGCCUUUCCUACCAGGCUAUGAUCUGGGAGAGUUCUGCCGAGCCGGGGUCCUGCCAGGAGACACACAAUUCCGUCCCUGGAGUAGGCUUGCCAACCUCUGUCCUAUGGCAGAUCCUCAAAGGGCCCUGGACCUCGGUCCUGGCCCAUCCUGCCUGCAGACUGAGAGUGGUUCUGUCCACCUGGGGACCCUGGAGGCACACGUCUAGCAGUGCCCCUGCAGGCUGACUUCUGACCUUGGUCCACGGGGGAUCUUCUCAACUGGCUCCAGCUCUUCUCAGCUAUGACCUGCGACCAGGCCUGCCCACCCAGGAACCUGCUGGGAGAUACGCCUGUCUGCACUUCCCCAUCCCUACCUUUUUUUUUAAAAUAAAAAAAUAAUUUUUCUUUUUUUUAAGUGAGAAGAGUCUUGUUAUGUUGCUCAGGCUGGUCUUAAACACCUGGGCUCAAGAGAUCCUCCCACCUUGUCCUCCCAAAAUGCUGGGAUUGAAGGCAUGAGCCACCAUGGCCAGCUUUUAACUUUUUUAUUGUGGUAAAACACACAUAACACAAAAUGUACCAUGAGUGAUACUUAGUGAAUUCCCCGUGUUGUGCAACCAUCACCUCUAUAUAGUUCCAGAACAUUUCUGUCACCCCAAAGGGAAGCCCCCUACCCAUCAGUAGGCACUCCUCAUUACCCCUCCCCUAAGCCACCAAUCUGCUUUUGAUGGAUUUGCCAAUUCUGACAUUCCAUAUCAACGGAGUCAUACAACAUGUGGCCUUUUGUAUCUGACUACUUUCACUAGAAUAAUGUUUUCAAGUAACCUACUGGAAUUUUUAUGUCUUAGGACUGCAGAUGCUUUUUAUGUGGCAGGAAUGACAGCAUACUUUGAUCUGGGAGGCCAUGACCUCACAUGCUGUGAUGGUAAACAAAUGGUGACAAGGCCAAGGGGCCACUAUUUAAAUACAGCCCAAAGAUGCCCCCACAGGGAGCUCUUUGGUGCAAAGUCUGAUUUCAAGCCCAGGAUUUGUAAACAACAGAGUCAUUAGGGCUUUCAGUGAUUUAUCUCACUCUGAAUGAUUGUCUGAUCUUAAGUUAACAAAAUAAUUUUAACAAAUAACUGGUUGAUUUAAAAAAAAACACACAGAAAGUUAACUCCUGGCUUCUUUUGUACUGUUUUCACCUAAUAAUCCUUUAAAAAUAUUAGAAUAAUCUUUUUCUCCUCUUUAAAUACAUACAUAGCAUAAUCGUAGUGUAGCACAUUCAAUUACUGGUGGGAGGCUGUGUGGUAUUUGUAGAAUUCUUUCAAGACACCUGAGCAAAUAAACAUGGGAUGUAAUGUAGUUUAAUCACCACUUGAACAUAUUGUGCUUUGUCAGAGCUGUUAUAUUUAUACAUAUGGCCACAUCUUCAGUCCCAAUGUCAUAGUUAACAUGCUGGUGGCACAGGUAGGGACUUGAACUAUUGCUUUCUCUAGGACAGGAUCCUUGGUUUUUAAAAAUCCAUGUCACUUUUUCUUGAUUUGAUUUUUUACCACUUAGGAAUGUUGCUUAUUCAUUAGUUUCUGGAGCUCUUGGAUUAUUCUUUUGACAUUUAAUCCAUUCCUGGAAGCUCCGAGAGUUGCUUCAUUGAAAGGAAAAACAAGAACAAAGUUGCCUGCUUGGGGAUCUGGAGCUUUGCCACGGUCUGACAGGACACACGGGGAGGUCUUGGUCUUGCAGGAGUGCGACUGGAAGAGGGACGCGUAGGGCAUGAGUGUCUUGUGAGGCGUGUGCCUGCUCCGUAACUUGGGCUUGCUUUGUGGCAUCUCCCUUGUUGACAGAUGAAAAUCCUGCCCACUCAUCUCUCCUUCCAGCUGGGAGGCAGGUGCAGCUUCAGGACGCACACUCACAGCUUUCUCCACCACAGAGUCAUCCUCGUUGUACAUUCUGCUUGUGAACGAAAGAGAAUCAUAAGGAAGACAGUCAGGAGCAUCAAGCCCACCUCUGUCACUUUUUGCAGCGUCGAUGUUGGAAUUUCCAUGUGUGGCAUUACUGGCUUCUCUCCCCUCAUUUCUUAGACCAUUUAAGUAAAUCAGGUCAAUAAUAUCAUGGACAAGUUUUCUCUUCACCAACACAUCUGUUGAACAAUCCCUGCUUACAGGACAGAGCCCCAGAGCAACUUUCCAUUUGA
rnacentral:lncRNA from 10 species